rnacentral:rRNA from 1 species
UACGUAGGUGGCGAGCGUUGUCCGGAUUUACUGGGCGUAAAGAGCGCGCAGGCGGUCGUUCAAGUCGCGUGUGAAAGCCCCCGGCUCAACUGGGGAGGGUCACGCGAUACUGAUCGACUCGAAGGCAGGAGAGGGAAGUGGAAUUCCCGGUGUAGUGGUGAAAUGCGUAGAUAUCGGGAGGAACACCAGUGGCGAAGGCGGCGACCUGGUCCGACACUGACGCUGAGGCGCGAAAGCGUGGGGAGCAAACAGG